UUGACAUGAUGAAAUGCAAUAUGAAAUGCUAAAUGAAUGCAUGAAUGAGGAGGGCAAAUUUUGGGGUGUUACAGAAUCGCCACUUAAUUUCUGUAGCGGUAAAUUCAUGUUCAUCAAGCUAUGGAUAAGCAAGACAUCAAAUAACAAGAGUCGCCACCGUGCUUUUAUUGUUUCCUAGGGAAAAGAGAAAAGUACGAACAAAACCCACAAAUAAGAAGUUUUCAAAUCAAAACUAAUAAAAUGUCAUAGAUUACAG
rnacentral:lncRNA from 1 species